rnacentral:piRNA from 1 species
GGAAAAGGACGCCGUGGGCUUUG